CGUCCAGACUCCUACGGGAGGCAACAGUGGGGAAUAUUGGGCAAUGGGCGCAAGCCUGACCCAGCAACGUCGCGUGAAGGAAGAAGGCUUUCGGGUUGUAAACUUCUUUUCUCAGGGACGAAGAAAGUGACGGUACCUGACUAAGAAGCCCCGGCUAACUACGUGCCAGCAGCCGCGGUAAUACGUAGGGGGCAAGCGUUAUCCGGAAUUACUGGGUGUAAAGGGAGCGCAGACGGCAGUGCAAGUCUGGAGUGAAAGCCCGUGGCUUAACCACGGGACUGCUCUGGAAACUGUGCAGCUAGAGUGCAGGAGAGGCAGGCGGAAUUCCUAGUGUAGCGGUGAAAUGCGUAGAUAUUAGGAGGAACACCGGUGGCGAAGGCGGCCUGCUGGACUGUAACUGACGUUGAGGCUCGAAAGCGUGGGGAGCAAACAGGAUUAGAUACCCUUGUA
rnacentral:rRNA from 1 species